rnacentral:misc_RNA from 1 species
AGAAUCUGCUGGAAUCGACCUAAGAAGCCGAAUUGCUGCGCUGCGUGUUGGAGCAUCUUCAGGGGUGUUUUCCCGGCGCCUCAAGUGAUGGCUGUCGAGGGGGAUAGGCUAGGGCGGCGAGAGGAGGAGAGAAGAGAGAGAAAACGAGAGAGAGGGAGUGUCGGGCGCGCGCAGUGAGGGAAAAAGAAAAGGAAAUGGCUGGUCUGAUUCGAU